rnacentral:misc_RNA from 1 species
GUAUAUAUUAUAGACACAACAUUCUAUUGACAUGCAUUGGGGUAAAUGAAGAAUCAACAUAGACACCUGGAAAGAUGUCUACAAAAGGUGCACAGGUGGAGAUAUAAAGAUGACAAGGUGUGCACAUGCUCCCUAGAGAGCCAGCAACAACCCCAUCAGGUUUAUUUCAAUAAUGAUCCUUCCGCAGGUUCACCUACGGAAA